rnacentral:rRNA from 1 species
GACGAACGCUGGCGGCGCGCCUAACACAUGCAAGUCGAACGGAGAUACCUGUUAGAUCCCUUCGGGGUGACGAUGGACUAUCUUAGUGGCGGACGGGUGAGUAACACGUGAGCAACCUGCCUUACAGAGUGGGAUAACGUUUGGAAACGAACGCUAAUACCGCAUAACAUUAACUUAUCGCAUGGUAAGAUAAUCAAAGAAAUUCGCUGUAAGAUGGGCUCGCGUCUGAUUAGAUAGUUGGUGAGGUAACGGCUCACCAAGUCGACGAUCAGUAGCCGGACUGAGAGGUUGAACGGCCACAUUGGGACUGAGACACGGCCCAGACUCCUACGGGAGGCAGCAGUGGGGAAUAUUGCACAAUGGGGGAAACCCUGAUGCAGCGACGCCGCGUGAGGGAAGAAGGUUUUCGGAUUGUAAACCUCUGUCUUCAGGGACGAUAGUGACGGUACCUGAGGAGGAAGCUCCGGCUA